CGCCAGACUCCUACGGGAGGCAGCAGUGGGGAAUAUUGCACAAUGGAGGGGACUCUGAUGCAGCGACGCCGCGUGAGUGAAGAAGUAAUUCGUUAUGUAAAGCUCUAUCAGCAGGGAAGAAAGUGACGGUACCUGAAAAAGAAGCUCCGGCUAAAUACGUGCCAGCAGCCGCGGUAAUACGUAGGGGGCGAGCGUUAUCCGGAAUUACUGGGUGUAAGGGGAGCGUAGACGGCGAGGUAAGCCUGAAGUGGAAGCCCGCGGCCCAACCGCGGAACUGCUUUGGGAACUGUUUUGCUGGAGUAUGGGAGGGGUAAGCGGAAUUCCUGGUGUAGCGGUGAAAUGCGUAGAUAUCAGGAGGAACACCGGUGGCGAAGGCGGCUUACUGGACCAUAACUGGCGUUGAGGCUCGAAAGCGUGGGGAGCGAACAGGAUUAGAUACCCCUGUA
rnacentral:rRNA from 1 species